rnacentral:misc_RNA from 1 species
CAAACCUCAACUCAAAUAUCAACAAAAUCAAUUAAACAUAUCAUUGAUAUAAUCGUCAAAAACCAAAUAGACAUUAUACUGGUUUGCAUGCAAGAGACACCCAUUGCUUGUAAUUAAAUAUCCACCUCAAUUUAAUAGAAACCCAAUGAAAUUCAGUAUAGAAGACCAAAGAUAUAAUAAUAUUAAAAACAAACACAAAAUAGCAGAAACCUAAUUAAACCCAAUUUCUGAUCGUAUCAGCCCCAAGUGAAUCAGUUUGAUUAUGGUGGAAUAGCAGUCUCUGUUUAUAUUACCCAUUCAGUUGUCGAUGCAAAAACAGAGUUCUUCAUCACCAGUUGGGCUGCAAUUAACAACAUCCUUUGAGGCAAAUGGGGAAACAAAUGGUGCUCAACUUGAAACUACAAUCCAAUAGUCUGAUGAAAAGAUUCUUGUUUCAUGGUUCCAAUAUAGCUACUUUGAGAGGAGUGGGCAAUAGAUUACAUAGGAAAAUCCAACCUUAAAUGGCCAACAGGAUUAGAGAACGAGUUCAAUAAAGAUGGAGAGGAAGGCAGUCUUCGCUCUAGAGAAUUAAUCAAUUUAUGAGACAUCCCAAUUCUUACAAAG